rnacentral:lncRNA from 1 species
AUGUAUACAGUACAUUCGGGGAUUUUAAAUUUGAUUUUAAUGAAAGCACAGCAGGAGAGAGCUUUUCUCUGCCUGCUCCUUCAAUUAAGAAGGAGGACAGCGCAGCAACGUCAAUUUCUCGUCAGAACUUUAUAUUUACCCUAUGCUCCGCCGCAAACAAGAGGAAUUUGGAUGCGAGUCCGCAGCAAAGACUGGUGGGAGAGAGUGGUCUUACGGGAAUUUAGUGACCAGGAAUCCUCGAAGGUCCCAUUGACGGACGAAAUACCUCCGGGACCAGACGAAAUUGUCCAUAUCCGUAUUUACCGUAGGGUGUGAAUGGGCCUUAGCAUCCUCCCUGUUGAUGACGGAGGUCACCGCAAGCCCAUGACCGCAAGACGUGCACAACAAAAUGUGACCUGCGACGAGUGUUUUAAAUGUAUUAAUAUAAAUUUUACUUUAACCCUUAAUUCUCCUCCCUCCCCCCCACAGUCCUUUCAUAACCACUGCCACUUUGAUUUUCAUCUGCGCACUACUGCAGCUGCCAUCUCUCUAAGUUAAGAAGUAUUUUAACGUUCAGCCUGCAAAAGUACUAGUAGUAGCCUACUAAUUUACAGUUAUCUCGGACGCGCGCGGACACCUCAUUAAUAAACACCCAUGUCCCGUCGCUUAGCAACCGGACACGCUUACCGGACUACUUUUACGGAGUGAUAACAAAGACGUGAAUCAGGCAUUAAAUCCACUUUCCUUGACAGCGGUGAAGUUCGGUGUGCUUAAAAGUACCGACGGAGCUCAGUGAACUACUGCGGCUGCUCUAAGUUAAACCCCAAUCUAUGCGGAAUAAGUGUAUAUAUGGCGAUUUAAAACGGACUACACCACCUAUUCUAUUCGGCAUAGAAUCUAUGCCGAACAGAUAAUUGUAUUCCGAAUGAGGCGUAUACUUAAGCAAUAGAUCCAGUGGCGUAUCCAGGACAUUUUUACUGGGGUGGCCAAGAUGGGACACAAAGCUAGUGUGGGGUGGCCAUGGCAUAGCGAAGUUUAAUACAUACACGUACGCAGCCAACUGCGGUUCGAAUCCCGGUCCUUUGCUGCAUGUCACAUCCCCUCUCUCUCCCAUGAUUUCCUGUCUCAGAACUGUCAAAUAAAGGUGUCUAUGCUGGUAAAAUGACUUUUUCUUUUUAAAGUCAUUUUUUAAAUUCCAUUACCACCUAUCACAGUCCUCAAGUAUAUCUGGUUAUUUUAACAUGUCUAUUUUUAAUCAGUAAUUAUGUUCAGAAUAAGGUACACAUUUUCUAAGAGCCAUUUCCUUAUAGUGGAUUAAAGUCCUCAUCUCUUCACAAGUUAAAUUAGAGUAGCAAAAUUCAACUGCUCUUAACUCAUCCUAUAUAAUAACAUUAAUCAGCUCAUCAUCUGUGUCACCUGUAUUGUUACCUGUGUUUGCUUUACUAAUUGAGGCGCCAUCUUGUGGUUACAUAAAACACAGCAAUCCAGGCAACAGAACAAACCAAAAUGCU